CCAGCCUAGGAAAAGUCCAGUGUUCUACCCAGCCAGGCAUAAUACCCAGGUGAAGAAACUUGCUGGAAAAGAGGGUUUGUGAACUCUUUGUAACAAAGGUACUCUGACGGCUAAUGUCGGUUGUCUUGACUGGAUGGGAAUCAACUCAAAGCUAUGCAGAUCAAUGUAACUGCUGUGGAACCUCUUGGUUGGGCUCUGUGAACAGGAAAGACCAACUCUAAAUGUGGGCAGCAACUUCCAGUGACACUGGGAGAGAGGAGAUCCCAGGCAGGGACCUUUGCCUUUAGUUUAUCUGCCUUCCUCCAGUUGUCAGGANNNNNNNNNNNNNNNNNNNNNUGCGUUCAGGUCGCAGUCUCCCCUGGAGGCGUGGGUUCGAAUCCCACUUCUGACAAGUUUAUCUGCCUUCCUAUCUCACUGGCGACAUCAUCUACCCCUGACAAAUUCAGCUAUCCUGUUGCUGCAGAUCCUGGUGCUGUUGGUCCUGCUGUUACCUUUUCUUGCUAACAUCACAAUCCAGUUUCUUCAGGCUUCCCAUGAUGACUGGAGACCAGUGGAACUCCAAGACUCCUUUAGACAUUCAGCUUAGGACUGCAGAGGCAUCCAGCCUUGUACUCUGAUUAGCUUCCAGGUUCGCAGCCCCUCCAAUGUGCAGGCAGCCAUUGUUGGACUAACCAGACUGUAUCAUGUAAGCCGAUCUAUUAAAUUCUCUUUAAUGUGUACU
rnacentral:lncRNA from 1 species